UGUGAGGGGGAUAUGGAUGUGACAUCUGUCAUCUCAUUGAUCAGGGUUGAUUUGGCUAGACAAAUGUCUCCUAACUCUAACCACACCAC
rnacentral:sRNA from 1 species